rnacentral:rRNA from 1 species
CGAACGCUGGCGGCGUGCUUAACACAUGCAAGUCGAACGAAGAGCGAUGGAAGCUUGCUUCUAUCAAUCUUAGUGGCGAACGGGUGAGUAACGCGUAAUCAACCUGCCCUUCAGAGGGGGACAACAGUUGGAAACGACUGCUAAUACCGCAUACGAUCUAAACUCGGCAUCGAGGAUAGAUGAAAGGUGGCCUCUACAUGUAAGCUAUCACUGAAGGAGGGGAUUGCGUCUGAUUAGCUAGUUGGAGGGGUAACGGCCCACCAAGGCGAUGAUCAGUAGCCGGUCUGAGAGGAUGAACGGCCACAUUGGGACUGAGACACGGCCCAGACUCCUACGGGAGGCAGCAGUGGGGAAUCUUCCGCAAUGGACGAAAGUCUGACGGAGCAACGCCGCGUGAGUGAUGACGGCCUUCGGGUUGUAAAGCUCUGUUAAUCGGGACGAAAGGCCUUCUUGCGAAUAGUGAGAAGGAUUGACGGUACCGGAAUAGAAAGCCACGGCUAACUACGUG